rnacentral:rRNA from 1 species
AAUUCCCUUUUUGAUCCUGCCAUUACCCAUAUGCUUCUUUCAAGGGCUAACCCAUGCAUGUCUCAAAGCAAAUGGUUAAAAACAGUGGGUCUGUGAAUGGCUCCUUACAUCACCAGUCACCUGGGUGGUAAUUCCAACACAGUGGGACAUCCUCCAAAACCUGGUGGCUAAUACCCAAAUCAACUGGCCCACACAAAAGGAAGGGUGUACAAUUGUGCACUCUGUGUGUGGAGCUUGCUACCACCUUAAAUACAAACUGGCACCCACAACCUGACCCUAUCAAAUUUGUACAGGGUAAAUUGUUGUUGACCCAGGCUGGUGACACUAACAGCUUUGGCACUCUUAAAUGGUGUUCAAUUACACCACUUGCUUGACCACCCGGGCUUCUGACCUAUCAGCUAGAC